rnacentral:rRNA from 1 species
UACGUAGGUGGCUAGCGUUAUCCGGAAUUACUGGGCGUAAAGCGAGCGCAGGUGGUUUAUUAAGUCUGGUGUAAAAGGCAGUGGCUCAACCAUUGUAUGCAUUGGAAACUGGUAGACUUGAGUGCAGAAGAGGAGAGUGGAACUCCAUGUGUAGCGGUGAAAUGCGUAGAUAUAUGGAAGAACACCAGUGGCGAAAGCGGCUCUCUGGUCUGUAACUGACGCUGAGGUUCGAAAGCGUAGGUAGCAAACAGG